GACAGAGGUGCCGAGCGUUAGGCGGAAGUCACUGGGCUUAAAGCGGUGUGUAGGCGGGCAGGGCCAAGUACCUUGUGAAAUCCCACGGCUGCAACCGUGGAACGGCUGGGUAUACGUGCCUGUCUUGAGCCAACUAGGGGCGAGCGGAAACAGACGGUGGAGCGGUGAAAUGCGUAGAUAAUCGUCUGGAACGCCAAAGGGUGAAAACAGCUCGCUGGGGUUGUGCUGACGCGUGAGAACACGGAAAGCCCAGGGGAGCGAACGGG
rnacentral:rRNA from 1 species